GGAGCCGGCCCGGCAGGGUGCCAGGUCCCUCUCUGUAUGGGCUCCUCUCCAACUCCUGGGACUGUGUCUCAGGCCUACGCUGCCUGAGCCAGGCGUGCAGGGCGGUGGACGGGCCUUCUUUGCUGCAUGGAUGGCCCAAGAAUAGAAUGGCCCUGGCGAAGAUGCGCUAAGGGGCUGCGCGACACGGGAUUCAUGAAGCAGCCACAGAAGGGAGCCCAGUGGUGGCACGUUCUUGUCCGAAUUGAAGAAAAGAGGGAUAGGAGGAACUGGUAGAUGGAGCUCAUAGCUCCACAGUUCUAGUCACAACGAUGGUGAGGGUGUCGUGGCAGUGCAGGGCCUGACACAGGAUUGAACAGCUAUAAGUUAUUGCUCUGGUUUUUAUUUUGAGACAAGGUCUCAUGUAGUCAAGCCAUCUCGACCUCAAAGUUGCUAUGUAGCCAACCUUAGAGUCAUCCUCUCUACCUCCCCAGUCCUGGGAUUGCAGGUAGGAGCCUCCACGCCUAGAGGAUACAACACUGAGUAUUGAAUCCAGGGUCUUCUGCGUGCUUGGCAAAGACUCCCCUAAUUGAGCUGCGUCCUUGACCCUGUUUUUUGUUGUUUUUGUUGGGUCAGGGUCUUGCUUUUGUGGGCCAGGAUGGCCUCCAACUUUGCCAGAUUCCCUUUCUUCUGUCUGGGAUUAUAACAUGCGCCACAACACUUCAUUAGCUCUUGGUUUGGUUUGGUUUUUAUAUGGAGCAUUGUCCAAAGUCCUUGCUGGUUAUGACGCACAAACUGAAAAGGGUGUGGAUCGAGGCUGAGCUCUCUGUCCCGCGUCAAUCCAAAAGAGGGGAGGAGAAGGACCCCUGACCCAAAUCAUCGUGGCCAGAUUUAUGAAAGCAAGCGAGCAAUUAAAGCAAGCUUUUCUUAUUCCUGUACCCAGGCCGCCUUCCCCUAAGGCAGGGUUUGAGAGGUCGGCCCUGGACACGAGGAAGACCAGAUGUUUAUAGCUUGGGGGGUAGGGUGUUUCCAAAUGGGGAAUUUGGUGGGUGAAAUAGGUGGGAUUGGAGGGACAGAACAUAAGCGUACAGGUUAGUCAUAAGGAUCUCCUGAAACACAGACAUGAUUGCGAGGUGGCCAGAAGGUAGUCAUGACAACAGAUAGACAUAACCACCUUUUGAAACAAAGGUAGGGUUGCCCGACUGUUAUAACUUUUUGAAACAAAGACCUGGUUGCCGUUU
rnacentral:lncRNA from 1 species